CCUGCUCCAGUGAAGCUGGGAAGGAGGCCCUGUCCGGGUAUGAACCAUCAUACCAUCCCUGCUAUCAGUGACAAGGAAGAGUGCUAGUCCUGACCACCCGCCAACCUGGGAGACUCAGGGAGAACAUUCCAAGAAGUGCUUUUGGUAGUGUUUAUGGCAAGAUUUGAGACCAGCCUCAGGGAGAGCCCCACCUGGGGCUCAGGGCCUCUGACCGUCCAACCUCACUACUCACAAAGGCCGUGGUCCCAACUUGGAACUGCAGGGACUAUCAGAGGGGAGCAAUUUGAGGAGCAAAGGCCUCUGGGUUUCCAUUCAGCUAGAGGAGUGUUCAUUGAGCACCUACUAUGUGCCAGGAGCUUAGGGUUGGCUCAUUUCAUCCGCAUAACUGCCUUGUGAGGUCAGGAAGGUGGAGUUGAGACGCAGUCGCCUGGUGAGCUCCCACGGCUACUACAGGAGCAGAGCACGGGGUCACCUAGUUUCUCUUCUUUUUCUUUUUGCCUCACCCAGCAGCUACCUUCAGUUUUUCCUCGCCUAAAGUUAACAUUGCCACCGGUAGAUAUGGAUGUGACUCCAUAGAUAAACUGCAUUGUUGCCACUUCCACACACUGCCCCUACCAAACCCAGGAAAAAGAAAUCAAAGUAAAAUCUAAGGAAGUCAAGAACCCAGGGCAUCACUGUCGGUGAAUAAGUUCUAGAAUCUUCAGCCUCCAUCUGCACCCCAUUCCUUAGCCCAACAGGGUGGCUUACUUAAGCAGACCACAGUUAUGGGAACAGUUUUGCUUUUAAAUGAGAAUGUUUCUUUGGGACGCAGUUGCUCUUUAAGCGCUCAUCCUCCCCACAUAGCAGUGCCACCUCCCGCUCCCUGGUCAGGCAGAUCUCUCUAUAACCGUGCCCAUGCCAGGACAGCAUGAAGCAGAUCUCUGUUUGCCCUUGGCCUUGGGUAUAGCUGCUAGUGGUUCAGCAGGACCCACAAGGCCACUGAAGGUCAGUUAGAAUGUGGCAUGUUCUGCAGGCAGAGGCUAUGCCCCUGAUCAUGGCCAGCAGCUUCCCCAGGGUUUGAAACAGGAUUCAAGGGAAUCCAGGCCCAAGGACUGUGGAUGACUCCAUAUGCCCAUCUCCAGGAAGCCCAACUCCAAAACUCACAAGGUUCUUCCCCCUAGGAAAGGCACCCUUCCAUAAGAACAAGAGUCUCCUGGAAAUAGCAUUUUGUUUCAUCCUAGGGCAGCACUAGAGAAUCGCUUUAGCCUCAUCAAGGACAAUGCCUCCUGGGGCCAGAGGAGAGGUGGGCCAGAGAGGGCAAGGAGCUUGCCUAGGGUCACACUGCAUGUCAGGGUCAGGGAUCAGGUGGACCCAGCCCUGUGCUCCUUCCUCUGCAUCUCUGCCUCACCAAGAAGGGACUGUGAAUUCGUCCCUACCCAAGGAUGCUGUCCACAUCCUGGAGCCAAAGCUUGGUACCCUUUGCCUGUUGCAGGACAAGACAAGAAAGAAUGGUCCCGAGAGCUGCAUUUCCUGCAGCAGAGCAGGGUCAGGCUACCCUAAAGAGCUGGUGAUGAGACAAAUCACCAAUGAAUAUCCACAUAUAAGCAACUGUGGUCACAAGUAACACUAACGGCAACAGCAAAUCUAGCAGAAAGGGAGGAGGGUGAGGGAGUAUGUCCUGAAAGAUGCCAGCUCUGACCAGCUUUGCCUGGAGAAGUGACUGGGGAGCUUUGCCAAGGGGCCCCCCCAGAACCCUUGCACCCUCCCAGUGCACCUCUCCCUGGCUAGUCCUGGGCUGGCAGAUAAAACGCAGCCAAGUGGCCUGGGAGCCAGAGCUGAAUGGCAGGAAAGGCCAAGGCCAGGGUGGCCUCUCGCCUACCCACCCAUCCUGGUGAUUCAAAGCCAGGCUGAGGCCGGACAAAGCACUUGAAAAUGUCAGUCAGGGGACAAUCUCUUUCCCAAACUCCUUGCCUGUGACCUUGGGCAUCCAGCUUUUACUCAGGAUGGCUGAUCUUUUCCCCAGCUCUGCGCAUUCCAUCCCCUGCCCCUUCCCACAUAGCACUCACAGCAUACACCACACACACACACACACACACACACACACACACACACACACACACCCUAAGGUGGCAACUGGGCUUUCCACUCUGUAAUCACAGAAUUACAGGGCGGUUGCUAGUUUGUGGGGGCCAAAAGAUGGCCUACAUAGCAGAUCACACCUUCAGGCCCUAGACAGUCAAAACCAACGCUCUUAGGAACAUUUAAAAUGAUGAAAGCGGCUACACGUGGUGGCUCAUGUCUGUAAUCCCAGCGCGCUGGGAAGCCAUGAGGGAAGGAUCGCUUGUGGCCAGGUGUUUGAGACCAGCCUGAG
rnacentral:lncRNA from 10 species